AUUGAACGCUGGCGGCAUGCUUUACACAUGCAAGUCGAACGGUAACAGGCCGCAAGGUGCUGACGAGUGGCGAACGGGUGAGUAAUGCAUCGGAACGUGCCCAGUCGUGGGGGAUAACGCAGCGAAAGCUGCGCUAAUACCGCAUACGAUCUAUGGAUGAAAGCGGGGGACCGUAAGGCCUCGCGCGAUUGGAGCGGCCGACGUCAGAUUAGGUAGUUGGGGGGGUAAAGGCUCACCAAGCCGACGAUCUGUAGCUGGUCUGAGAGGACGACCAGCCACACUGGGACUGGGACACGGCCCAGACUCCUACGGGAGGCAGCAGUGGGGAAUUGUUCGCAAUGGGCGCAAGCCUGACGACGCAACGCCGCGUGGAGGAUGAAGGUCUUCGGAUUGUAAACUCCUGUUGAUCGGGACGAAAAGCUUCAACCUAAUACGUUGGAGACUGACGGUACCGGUUGAGGAAGCCACGGCUAACUCUGUGCCAGCAGCCGCGGUAAAAC
rnacentral:rRNA from 1 species